UUAAAUUGAAGAGUUUGAUCAUGGCUCAGAUUGAACGCUGGCGGCAGGCCUAACACAUGCAAGUCGAACGGUAACAGGAAUCAGCUUGCUGCUU
rnacentral:rRNA from 3 species